ACUUGGGACAGGCGCAAAAUUGCGGCGGGGUUAAACAUGUUUAUGAGAUCUCAACCCUCCCCCUAUACCUCUAGCCAAUGUAGAAAAGUAAAAGAAUAACAAUACGCACAUUAAAAUUCAGUUCAAGAGAAGUCCGAGUCUGAUGUCAAAAUGUGUAACAAAAGAAAAUAAAUAAAAUGACAAUAAUACAUAAAUAACAACAGACUACUAGCAGUAUACUGACAUGCCAGCUCCAGACCUCAAUUAAACUGAUUGAAAGAUUAUGUCUUCAUCAUAUGAAUAUCAGGUACAAUCCCUCCCGUUAGGGGUUUAGUAUCAUACUAUCAUAAAAUAUAUGAGAAGAACAUAACCCGUGUCAUGCCAAC
rnacentral:lncRNA from 1 species